rnacentral:rRNA from 1 species
UACGUAGGGUGCAAGCGUUAUCCGGAAUUAUUUGGGGUGUAAAGAGCUCGUAGGCGGUUUUGUCGCGUCUGCUGUGAAAACCCGAGGCUCAACCUCGGGCCUGCAGUGGGUACGGGCAGACUAGAGUGCGGUAGGGGAGAUUUGGAAUUCCUGGUGUAGCGGUGGAAUGCGCAGAUAUCAGGAGGAACACCGAUGGCGAAGGCAGAUCUCUGGGCCGUAACUGACGCUGAGGAGCGAAAGCGUGGGGAGCGAACAGG